ensembl:snoRNA
UACCUCCCAGGAUGGCAUCUGUAGAGUGGAUAGUAUUCUGCCAGCUUUGGAAACUGGAUGAAAAGCAAAUCUGGCAGAGGUACCCAUUCCAUUCCCAGCUUGCUCAAUAGCUGGUGAUUGGAAGAAACUCUGCAACAAUG